rnacentral:lncRNA from 1 species
GGGGGCUGGCACAAUGGCCCCCACGCACCCUGGGCUCCUCAGGCCCAGAAGGAGGAGGAGGAGGAGGAGGAGGAAGAGGGUAGUCCUCGGGAGGAGGAGGAAGAGGAGGAGGAGGAGGAAAACAGGGCUGAAGAGGAAGAGGCCAGCACUGAGGAGGAGGACAAGGAGGGGGCCGUGGUUUCUGCGCCCUCUGUCAAGGCCAAUAACCUGCUGAUAGAGCCUGCUCGCAUUGAGGAGGAAGAGCUGACCCUCACCAUCCUGCGGCAGACUGGGGGCCUGGGCAUCAGCAUUGCGGGUGGCAAGGGCUCCACACCCUAUAAGGGGGACGACGAGGUGAGCACUGCCUAGGAG